rnacentral:rRNA from 1 species
GGCUAACGCUGGCGGCGUGUCUUAGCCAUGCAAGUCGAGCGGACUUAUGGGGUAACUUAUAAGUCAGCGGCGGACGGCGGAGUAACACGUAGCUAACCUACCCUCUGGACGGGGAUAACCUACCGAAAGGUGGGCUAAUACCCGAUGUAGUCAUCCUGUAUAGGGGUGAUGAAAGGUGGGCUUCUGUUUACAAGCUCAUGCUGGAGGAGGGGGCUGCGGCCUAUCAGGUAGUUGGUAGGGUAAUAGCCUACCAAGCCGAUGACGGGUAGCCGGCCUGAGAGGGUGACCGGCCCGAGGGGCACUGAGAUACGGGUCCCACUCCUACGGGAGGCAGCAGUCGAGAAUAGUCUACAAUGGCCGGAAGGCUGAUAGUGCGACGCCGCGUGAACGAGGGACCCGUUCGGGGUGUAAAGUUCUUUUCUAUACGAGCAGUGCUAUAUAUAUGGAUAGUAUAUAUAGAGGGAUAGUAGUAUAGGAAUAAGCAACGGCUAACUCCGUGCCAGCAGCCG